UGCAGCAUGUUUGGCGCCACAGCCUUCCUUCCUUCGCCUCAGAUCCGCGGUAAGAACGAAAGGAGCAGACCCGCUGCACAGCCAGCCGCAUUUCCCCCUCGGUUUAACUUGUUUAAUGCCCUCAACAGUGUCUCUUUGCAUCUCCAGCUUCGUCUUUUCAGUUUGUGUCGGCUUUUUUGCACCAUUUCUUUACUUUUUUCUGCAAAUGUCAAGUCUGCAAAGUCCCGAGAGAAGAUCGACCCUGCAACAUGAGCUUCUAAAGAGUUUGGAAAUACGGGCCCCUAUUUUAUCCAUUUUUAUCGCAACUGAUCCAGUGACUGCUUCUCCAAUUUGUGUUGCAAAGCUGCUGAACGUCUCAGCCAGAGGGCCUAAAACCGCCAGAGUCUGUUUUCCAGGAAGUAGAUGAUAAAGAUGUCUUCCAAGAAGAGAAAGCGAACAGAAAACACAUUGGACAUCAGGACCUAUUUUGACAAAGAGAAUGUUGCUCCAGGAAAUGUCCACAGCCCACCCAAGAAAAAAACAAAAGGAGCUCCAGGUUUCCAGGUGAGCUGCUGGUUCAUGAGCUUCUGAAGAUUUAGAUCCCACUAUCUAUACUAUACCCACAACGCUGUUACCUCCGUCACAUGAACCUACUGCAUUCUAGUUGCUUAUGAAAACUAGAAAAAUAUUGUAUGUUAGACUUUUUUUAAACUGGCCCAGUAUUAAAUUAGAAGUUUAGAAUAGAAACCGGCCUCGAUCCGAUUAAAUUACAGAAAACAUGCGUCUCUUUGGACUCAGCAAGCAGAGGUAGCGGUAAAUGCAGUACCUUGUUGCUUAGCAAUUCUGCUGCUAGCAUGCUGUGGGUUUCCCUCAACUUGCAGGAGCAUUCUCUGACAUCGUUCCAACACUAGAAAUAAAAGCUGUCUUUGACACUGAGUGAUUAAUCAGCUGUAGUACCAGCACAAAUAUAGAGAACAGAGGUGCUGCACGCACGAUUUCCAUGAUAUUUUCCCUCCUUGUUUGGGUCUGUGCCAAAGUCCCGCCUUAGUCAUUUCUGUUCAAUAGGAGCAACGACCCCAACAAGCGUGGCUUUGUUACAAGUUAUAGUUCACUUACAAAAGUACAGAGUGAGAGUAAACCGCAUUAAAAAAAAAAUAAAUAAAAAAAGAAGUUUGUUUCAGACCAAACAGGCAAACCAAAGGAGGUUUGUUUGCAUAGAAGAGGCUUCUUCCUAAAAACCACUGAGCCAUGAUCCAAAUCCCCACAGGAAUUCUGUUAUUUCCGCCUAUUGUGUUCAGGACAUGAACGAGAAUGCUGUUGCUAUGCAUGGUGGAAGGUUUAUGGGUACUUUACCAUUCAUAGGUUUUAGACAACAGUAGGAAAAUGCUAAAAAGUAAAAAUACUAUCUCAUAUAAACUUUUUAUUUAUUUGUAUUUCUCAGUUUCAAAAGCACCAAGUGAGCAAAGUAGAAACGUAGGGAGACUGAACUCAACAUUUGGUUUCUCCACAUUUAAUGCUUCAAGCAAGAUCAGAUCUUGGGUUUAAAAAUUGUCGGAUAACGCUUUGAUUCAGAUUAGGCAUUGGUGAUAUGAACGUAAAAUUUUAUCACAAUAUUGUGUUAAUGUUGGAAUAACAAUAAAAUUGAUGAUAAAAGACUAUUUACAGAUUCU